AUGAUUUCUCAUUUAAACGUAUUUUGUUCAGUUUGACCAAAAGCAAAAACAACUACCAAGAAAAAAACUUAACAGAAAUAAUUUUGCUUAAAUAAUUUUUUUACUUUAAGUCAGAUAGUUUAAUGUCACGUGACCUCGUGACGUCGGGACAAGUACCUUCUCCUUGAGUUUUUCUGUCAGCCAUUUUACUUCGCGCCGACUGCCAAGUUCAUCUGACCCACAGGACAACUGGUUUAAUUAAGGUUUGAUCUUGAGCUCUUUUGCUGAAAAUUUACAUCCAUCUCUUCUAAAUUUGAUCAAUCAUGAAUUCCUGAGAAUUACAACUGUUCCACUUCAACCACAGUUCCUGGCUUGGACAAGCACCACAGCAAGCUGAUUGAGCUAUUCAGAAAGAAGGGAGGAGAGAGAAGACACACCGACAAACGUCCUGAAAGUUCUGGAUCAGAGCCUCGAGGUGAGCCUGAAAAGAGAAUGUCUGCUAAAGUGCCUCAUCGAUUACCUGGGGGAAGACGUGGACAGUCUUAUCAAGGAAUACUUGGUUUCUCAGAAGAAGGAAGCUGAGACGGAGCUGAAGGAAUCUACAGUAGCAGUGUUUGUCAUCAGGGAGGAUGAAGACCCUCUCCAAUCGCCACAUGAAAUUGGGAUUGUACUUGAAGGUGUGGAUGUUCAUGAGUUGCCAUCAGUAGCACAUUCAUUUACAAUGCUGUUUGGCCUCAUCACUGCUGUGAACUAUCCUGACACGCAAAGUGUGCAGUCUUAGUGUGCAGCUUUAAAUAUUCUCUCUCACUCGCUCUGUCUUGCUCUCUCUAUGUUCAAAAGGUGUACAGUAUUUUUGCACUUCUAAAUGUUUGAAUACUGAAGAAGAAAUGUAUAAACCAUUUUUGUUAAACCAACUUGUUAAACAGU